GCCCUUAUGUUUUUACUGAAUUGAAACACCUAGAAUGUGUGAAGAUACCAGGAAGGAGGCCAGAGCUUCAGGAAACCGCUGCAAAGAUGAUCUCACAAAGAAACCAUUGUGGCAGGGCUCCUGGAGCACUCAAGUUGAUGUGACGUGUCCUACUCCUGAGAGCACGCAACCCUGCUGGCUCCUUGGGCUUGCAUGGCUCAGGGAAAGGAAAAUAGCCCGGGUGUUUGGAAGAGAAGUAUGUGUGGAUGGAAUUAUUCAAAUGCUGAUGGAUGGAUUGGGUCUCCUCUCCUGCUGGCCCGGCAGCCUCUCCGUGGAAGGCUUUGCCCAGGAGAUGGGUCACAACAGCUCUGGUGAGAUGCUGGAAACAUAAGCCCAGGCAGAUAGAAUGGCAGUGAGUCACAGUAAACCGACAACCGUCAGGUGCUCAGGAGGGAAGCUGAAGCCAGGGGACUCGCUGUGCUGAGCUAAGCGAGGAGCAGGACUCUCCUGUUGUGCAAAACACAAAGAGCAGAGUGUUCAAGUCCAAGGAUCAGGUUCCUCCAAAUGGAAGCCCAAGCUGUGCACGCUGAGCUCCAGGGCUGGCGAUACAAUCACCUGCCUCUGCCCAUGCAGGAAGGUACCACCCAAACAUACCCAUUUCUCCCGGGGCAUGGGCAGGGGCCAGGGGAGACAGGGCCCUACCACUUCCCAUGUAAAACUGGGUGAGCAGCCCAGCGCCCGUCAGAGCCGAAGCACCUCACCUGCACCCCCGCCCCCGCCCCCGCCCCCGCCCCGCCCCGCCCAGCCUUGUAAUCUGGGCUCUGCUCGCCAUGUGCUCUGUGCUAGUGAAACUGCCCUCAGAGCAGAAAUAAACUGUUGGCUCUCAAGUUUUUCCAGACUAACCGGACUGGCCAAUGCCUGAGGCUCUGUGUUCAAGAUAAAAGUGCCUAAGAAAGAAAAGUGCAGGUAGGCAGUCCCCACUUCUGCAGGGCUGGUGGGCUCUGGGGAUCCUGUCUCAGCCUGCUGAACAGCCCAGAGUGGCUUUAAAAAAAAAAAAAAAGCCUGAACAACCUUUUUUUGCACAUGGGUCACAGUCAAGCUUCUUAAACUUGGAUGACAGUAAACCUAUGACUAACUGGAUAAUUAAAGCCACAAGUCUGGAGGCCUGGGCAGGGCUCUGCUCUGGAAUCUCCGGUGGCCUGUUCCAUAGGCCAGCGUCCCUUGUCCUUCCCAUAGCAGAAAUGCUUUCGUGAGUUGGAAACCCUCUGUGGUGACCUCUACAUCUUCUCAAGGAGAAAGAAUUGUGCCAUGAAAAAUGGAAAACUCCUGAGAAGCUGUUCCAGCGUCAGGAGAGCAGCAGACAAGCUGGACUGGGGAAGAUUCUUCCUGCAAGACCUGCAGAGUGUAUGACACAUAACCAGCACCCAAGAAAUGUCUACCGAGGAAUUAAUGAAUGAGCCAUCUUGUGAUCAUCUGGCAAGACAGCCCAAGAAUAAAGCCGUCACCAUGGAGACUAAGAAGAGACAGAAAGACACUGGGUCUUCAUUGUCUCGUCCAGCUGUUCAUGAGGCCUUAUCUGAAGCCCACGUGACCUCCGGACUACUCACUUACAUGAGAGAAUAAAGCUCUUUUUUGUUUAGACCAAAUAAAUACAUAAUACAAUUACAUAAUCCCUUGAUUCCUUUUUAUGACUGAGCUCAGAGACUAUAUUUUGUCAUUUUAAAUCACCUUUGUCUUACAGUUUAUUUAACUGAAACAAAUAAACAAACCAAAACACGCCAGUUUUUCACUCCUCUGUCAAAGCCUUUCCAAGAUCACUAAGCUUGUGAUGUCCUGGGUGAAUGAAGAAGUAACAGUGUUUUCAACAACAUAGAAGCUUAUUUCUCUCUCAUAUAAAAGAAGGCUGGAGUCUGGCUGGUAUGGGAGAUACAGCAUCAUCAAAGUUUUAUCUUUUCGUCCUGCCAUCCUUAGAAUAUGGCUUUCAUCUUCAAGAUCACUUCCUAAGCUAUGAGGAUGCAAAGG
rnacentral:lncRNA from 1 species